AAGACACGUGACUAGGCGAAGGUCAAGGGGGCCGGAGCAAGGCUGACUCCUUUCCCCCGCCUGCAGCUACCUCAACAGGAGGCCGCCCCUUGACUUUGCAGAAAAUGACUGAGGUCAGGAACGAUCCACAAGCCCAGACACUCACCCCUCCAGCUCAGAGAAGUGGCUGUCCCACGGCCCCUGCUCCCGGGGGCUCCUGCUGGCAAAGGCUGCCAUGCUGCCUGGAGGCUGCCGCUCUGCAAUCCGGUUCUGCAAGAACAGACACAUUCCCGCCUGUAGGCACCAGGAGGCCUGGAGGCGGGGCAAGGCAGAGGGUGAUGGGGGUACAGGGAGAUCCAAGGAGCCCCCAGACAAGAGAAUAUUCCCCGCUUCUUCAGGACUGGCCAUGGCCUUUUGACACCGGCAAAGUGAGGCCCAGAGAGGGGCUGGGACUUCCCCCCGGUCCCUGAUACCUGAGGACAGGGCGCUGUUCCUGUGAUUUUUCUAACCUGGGGUGUCGCUGUCUCCACAUUCACCCCCAUUUCUCCUCCGUACCAGCCAAGAGACCCCUCCACAGGCAAAGCUGGUCCUGGCUGCCUGAGCAAAGGGCUCCCACCACCCGCAUGCUGGUGUUCUCCCCACGGUCACCUCAGCCUCCUGUCCCACCCCCUCAGCUCCCUUUCUGAAGGGUUCUGUCUCCACCCUCGAGAUGCCCUGAGGCUGAGCAACCUUUGCCACCGGGCACCACUGGCACCCUCAAAGCUCAGCCCAGGUGUCCUGUCCUUGGGGAGCCCUUCUGCCUGACACCCAUCUGUCCUGGUAGCAGGAACCCCCUCUGUGAGGCCACUCUGUCCCGGACAGCCCCACACUCAGUUCUCUCCAUUGGGGUCCACGCAGAUCUCUGGCAAGCAGGGCCAGGCGUGGGCACUCCAGGUGCCCAGGGAAUCUCGGGAAGGGAUUUCCAAGUGCUGGCCCCACUCCCAAAGCUCCUCUCCAGUCCACUUACCUCCUGACCACCCAAAACCCACAGGAAGAGACGGAGGAGGUGGGGACAGAGACAGAAGAGGCAGGAACAGAGGCGCCCCCCACCCCACCCCUCACAGCCGGUUCCUACCUGGAACAGGUGGCUCUUGCUGGGGUUGGGGAUCCUCUCCUCCCACUUUCUGCUCAGCCUGGAAGACACCAGGGAGGUGACAGCCAUCAGAGACCUCAGAACCAGCUGCUCCCGUGCUCAUGCCCAGAGGGGAAACUGAGGCCCAGGAAAUGCCACAGAAGCGGAGGGCCACGAGCACAGCGAGGGUGAGGAGCACCACGACGAGCGGCAGCACCCACACGGGCAGCGCUUCCAGCAGCCGGGGAGGAAGAGCAGCGUCAGCACCGGGGAGGGGAACGGACCUCGGGGCGGGGACAGGGGUUGGCGCAGUAUCCCCCAAGACCUUGCUCCUUGCAGGCCUAGGGCUCUGGAACUUACUGCCUCAGGGGACUAGGGGGGAGAGGCCAGAUCCAUGCUGAGAAGGGCAUUGGUCUGCACCCCCACAAUGUUCAAAGAGCUGGGAGCACACAGGGAGGUCAGAUCCUUUCCAGUCACAGGACGUGCUAUGGGGAAGGCAAGAACUACAGUUCAUGGCAAUCACAGGGGACUUCGUGAAGGAGGUGGCAUAGUAGCCGGGCCUCGUUAACAGGAAGGACUAGAGUGGCAGAGAUGGGGAAAGGCAGGCUGGCAGAGGCACCAGCAGGUGCAAAGGCCCAUCCGGAGGCCCCGAUACCUCUUGCUGCCCAGCCCUGAGACUCUCACAGACCAGGUUCCUCCAGGACUCUCCUCUUCCUCCUCCCUUGGGCCCAUUGGUAAAGCCUCCUUUCUGCUUGGUUGGGGCCCUCUCCCUGGGCCCCUGCAGCUACCAAGUCUGACUGUGGACUUGGGCUGCUCCCAGUAUCUCCUGUAUCCUCACUCUCUCUGAAACCAUCCCAUGGCCCUGUCUUGUUCUACAGGAGUUCCCUGGUGGCCACUAUGGUGAAAGGUGACGGAAAGUGCACACAGCAAGUGCAGGGAGGUGGGGAGAGGAAGGAAUCACAGCAAAACCUUCCAGUCCAAAGACCCAGUCUGCGGCUCUACAUUUUCUUGCUUCCAUGGUGACAGGAAACUCAGAAUGAGCAAUCACAAAAGCGUGGUAGCCCCCAAAGCUAAGAAACCAAAGGCCAUAUUAACAAAGGCCUAAGUCCCAGUUUAAAGGAGGAGUGAUGGUGAGAUCUGUUCUCCUCUACUCCCGCAAGUCCUCACUUGCAGUCCGUAUUACACACCAGGUGUCACUUUCCCAAGGGAGGGAAGGGGCCUGAGUGGGGUGGGGUCUGGAGCCCCACAUCGCUGUACCCACAGUCUGCAUCCUCUGCCUGGCUGUGCUGUCUCAUGAAGAGCGGGUGGAGAACUGACUUCAUGCCCAGUUUCUGCUUUCUUUACCCUUUGCCCUUUCAUCGUGAGGGUCUGCCAGCCAGCUGGGAGGUGCUGUCUGCAAAGGCCUUCCCUUUCUCUUUGGCCACCAUCUAUUUGGGAAGAGGGCUCACCUACAAGUCGUGGCAGGCCUGCUACAGCUGCUGCGUUGGGGAUUUUCUGGCAGUGAGAAACUCUGAGCUGGGCCCGGCCAGAAGCUGUGGACUCCGGCCUGUACCUACCCCACUCGGUUUCCCAGGAGCGCUCCUCACUCCACUGGCUCCAGAUCCCAUCGUAGCCGCUGCGGAAGGUCCUGACCCUCACCCUGGCCCAACGGAAUCUCGCUCUGUCGCCCAGGCUGG